UCGAGCGAAGCAUUUAAGACAGAACUCUUCGGAUUGAGUCUUAUCUGACUGAGCGGCGGACGGGUGAGUAACGCGUGGGUAACCUGCCUCAUACAGGGGGAUAACAGUUAGAAAUGACUGCUAAUACCGCAUAAGCGCACAGGGCUGCAUGGCCCGGUGUGAAAAACUCCGGUGGUAUGAGAUGGACCCGCGUCUGAUUAGCUGGUUGGAGGGGUAACGGCCCACCAAGGCGACGAUCAGUAGCCGGCCUGAGAGGGUGAACGGCCACAUUGGGACUGAGACACGGCCCAGACUCCUACGGGAGGCAGCAGUGGGGAAUAUUGCACAAUGGGGGAAACCCUGAUGCAGCGACGCCGCGUGAAGGAAGAAGUAUCUCGGUAUGUAAACUUCUAUCAGCAGGGAAGAAAAUGACGGUACCUGACUAAGAAGCCCCGGCUAACUACGUGCCAGCAGCCGCGGUAAUACGUAGGGGGCAAGCGUUAUCCGGAUUUACUGGGUGUAAAGGGAGCGUAGACGGAAGAGCAAGUCUGAUGUGAAAGGCUGGGGCUUAACCCCAGGACUGCAUUGGAAACUGUUUUUCUAGAGUGCCGGAGAGGUAAGCGGAAUUCCUAGUGUAGCGGUGAAAUGCGUAGAUAUUAGGAGGAACACCAGUGGCGAAGGCGGCUUACUGGA
rnacentral:rRNA from 1 species